AUUGCAAGCCUCUGCAGAGGCGCUGGAGCUGGGUCAGUCCGCCGCUCACCCCGCGGCCGCACCUUCCCGCCUUCUCAGUCUCCUGCGGCUGCCGUGGAAAUUAUCACGAGGUGGUGUCUUCAAACAAUAGAAAUGUACUCAGUUCCAGAGUCCAUAACAGCCACACUCCCUCUGCAGGCUCCAGGGGAGAAGCACAGUCCAUUCCGUGCUGCUGCCACAGAACACCACACACUGGGUGAUUUAUGAAGAACAAAUUGAUUUCGGCACAGUUCUGGGAGCUGGGACAUUCAAGGUCACCACGUUGCCACCUGUGAAGGCCUUCUGCUGCAUCCUCAUGUUGGGGAAGAUCAGAAGUGAGAACACAUGCUGGCCAGUCCUUUCACAGCAGCAUCAAUCCGUGCAUGGGGCAGGGCCCUCGGCCUGAGCGCCUCCCCCAGGCCCUAACUCCCAGCACUGCCCUGCUGGGGAUGGAAUUUCCAACAUGAAUCUGGGGGAUGCUUUCGGACCACAGCCGGGGAGCCUGCCCUGGCU
rnacentral:lncRNA from 10 species